rnacentral:rRNA from 1 species
CCCACUGCUAUCGAGGUGGGACUAAGCCAUGCUAGUUGAGCGCACAGAACUAUGUCUGUGAGCGGCACACUGCUCAGUAACACGUAGCUAACCUACCCUUAGGACGUGGACAACCCCGAGAAAUUGGGGCUAAUCCGCGAUAGAUGUAUUGUCCUGGAAUGGUAUUACGUCUAAAGGUAUCCCAUACAUGUUUGGUAUAUGCCUAAGGAUGGGGCUGCGGCCGAUCAGGCUGUUGGUGAGGUAAUGGCUCACCAAACCUUUGACCGGUACGGGCCAUGAGAGUGGUAGCCCGGAGAUGGACACUGAGACAAGGGUCCAGGCCCUACGGGGCGCAGCAGGCGCGAAACCUCCUCAAUGCACUUACGUGCGAAGGGGCUACCUCGAGUGCCACCUGAUGAAGGUGGCUUUUCCUAGGUCUAAAAAGCCUUGGGAAUAAGAGGGGGGCAAGACUGGUGUCAGCCGCCGCGGUAACACCAGCCCCUCGAGUGGUGGGGAUGAUUAUUGGGCCUAAAGCGUCCGUAGCCUGCCGUGUAAGUUUCCCGUUAAAUCCAGCGUCUUAAGCGUUGGACCGCGGGAAAUACUGUACGGCUAGAGAGUGGGAGAGGUCAGCGGUAUUCUGGGGGUAGGGGCGAAAUCCUUUGAUCCCCGGAGGACCACCAGUGGCGAAGGCUGCUGUCUAGAACACGUCCGACGGUCAGGGACGAAAGCUGGGGUAGCGAACCGGAUUA